UGGGAAUUCACAGCUAAAUGAUUGGAGUUAACAUGGGGAAGACAAUGUAUCAUCAGUUCAGGUGUAGAUAAUCUGAAUUUCCUGGCCCUAACAGCCAAAAAUUGUUAAUUAGAUUAUUUUAUAUGUCUAUUCAUUAAACAGAUACUUGCUAAGUGUGCCCAGAAUGUGCAAGUCAGUGUGGUAGGUACUUUCAGGGAUACAGAAAUAAACUGGAUGAAACCAAAGGACUUACAGUCUCUUCUAGGGAAAAAGAAAAAGAUAAAGAUGAAUAGAUGCAAAUAUUGCCCUCCAGUUCUGAGAGUAUGUACCAGCCACUGAGUUCAUGAAGACUGCCUCUUUUCUAUCCUUGAGGUGGGGGGUACUAUUUUUCAGUUGAUAUUGAUGGUUCUUUGAUUAUUCA